CCGCCACAACGGCUUCCUGGCGUGGCGGGGAUUAACCGGCGGAGCA
rnacentral:ncRNA from 1 species